rnacentral:rRNA from 1 species
UACGAAGGGUGCAAACGUUGCUCGGAAUUAUUGGGCGUAAAGAGCUCGUAGGCGGUUUGUCGCGUCUGCUGUGAAAACUCGGGGCUUAACCCCGGGCCUGCAGUGGGUACGGGCAGACUAGAGUGCGGUAGGGGAGACUGGAAUUCAUGGUGUAGCAGUGAAAUGCGUAGAGAUCAUGAGGAAGACCAGUGGCGAAGGCGGGUCUCUGGACAGUUCCUGACACUGAGGCACGAAGGCCAGGGGAGCAAACGGG